rnacentral:rRNA from 1 species
AACGUGCCCUGUAGUGGGGGAUAACUAGUCGAAAGAUUAGCUAAUACCGCAUACGACCUGAGGGUGAAAGUGGGGGACCGCAAGGCCUCAUGCUAUAGGAGCGGCCGAUGUCUGAUUAGCUAGUUGGUGGGGUAAAGGCCCACCAAGGCGACGAUCAGUAGCUGGUCUGAGAGGACGAUCAGCCACACUGGGACUGAGACACGGCCCAGACUCCUACGGGAGGCAGCAGUGGGGAAUUUUGGACAAUGGGCGAAAGCCUGAUCCAGCAAUGCCGCGUGUGUGAAGAAGGCCUUCGGGUUGUAAAGCACUUUUGUCCGGAAAGAAAUGGCUCUGGUUAAUACCUGNGGUCGAUGACGGUACCGGAAGAAUAAGGACCGGCUAACUACGUGCCAGCAGCCGCGGUAAUACGUAGGGUCCAAGCGU